GAAUAAGAAGCAAAAGUUGCAUUUAGUUUCGACCUAAAAGUUUGACGUAUAGUCCUUAUUUU
rnacentral:tRNA from 1 species